GCUCCCGUGGUCGAAGAGAUGAGGCAUCCGUCUUCUAAACGGAGAUAUGCAGGUGCAAGUCCUGCCGGGAGCA
rnacentral:tRNA from 1 species